rnacentral:rRNA from 1 species
UGGGGAAUAUUGGACAAUGGGCGAAAGCCUGAUCCAGCCAUGCCGCGUGUGUGAAGAAGGUCUUCGGAUUGUAAAGCACUUUAAGUUGGGAGGAAGGGCAGUAAGCGAGUACCUUGCUGUUUUGACGUUACCGACAGAAUAAGCACCGGCUAACUCUGUGCCAGCAGCCGCGGUAAUACAGAGGGUGCAAGCGUUAAUCGGAAUUACUGGGCGUAAAGCGCGCGUAGGUGGUUCGUUAAGUUGAAUGUGAAAGCCCCGGGCUCAACCUGGGAACUGCAUCCAAAACUGGCGAGCUAGAGUAGGGCAGAGGGUGGUGGAAUUUCCUGUGUAGCGGUGAAAUGCGUAGAUAUAGGAAGGAACACCAGUGGCGAAGGCGACCACCUGGGCUCAUACUGACACUGAGGUGCGAAAGCGUGGGGGGCAAACAGG